CUGAACACGCCUCUAUUGCCAAGGCGUUAGAGUGCGUGCUCAGAUAUUUUUGAGCACCUCGGCCGCUCCGAUAUAUCUGAUGGCGACUUCCACAUAAACUACCAGUAACCAAAACUGCUCUCUGGUGACCGCAACGCAAACCUCUGCGAUCCUCGUCGCCAAAAUUAGUUCGAAAAGUUAUGGCUCU